rnacentral:lncRNA from 1 species
UUUAGUGUUUUUGAUUUAUAGUUUAGGAUUUAUCCAAGGGUUUAGGUUUAAGAUUUAGGGUUUAUGAUUUAGGGUUUAGUAUUUUGUUGACGUCUUUAAACUUUUUUUUUGUAAUUAUUACUAUUUUUAUUUAUUUAUUUUUACUUUUUUAUUUAUUUUAAAAAUAUAAUAUAAUUUGAUAAUAUUUUGUUUCUUUUUUAAAAAGAUAUUGAAUAUGAAAUAACACAAUUUUAUUGGUUGGUGGGGUGAACCCAAGAAUAAAUCAUAAAAUAUAUGGUCAAUUUCCUGGCUUUAAGUACCAGGCCUUUUUUUGACAAAAAAAAAAAAAAGAACCAGGCCUUUCAACGUUCUCUGUUAGUGGGAUCUACAUCGACUUUGAAAUAUUGACCAUUUGUUUUUUUAAUUUUUUCGAUUAAAAGAAGAGUAAUCUCCGACACUAACAGUAUUGUGUAGUUUCUCGUUAUGAAUUAGCUUUAUCAAAAACCUUAGCUAUAGGAAUUGCAGGUUGAAAAUCCAAUUAUGUAACUCGAUCAUGUAGAUUGGUUAUUCUGAGCAAGCAACAAUUCAUAUAUUAGACGUUUACAUGGUUGCUAGCAAGGUAGUUCUUCAGUGAAGUAAAUUAUUGCAAAGCCACUAACGUUUUCUGGUUUGUUGUCAGACGCUCCUUAUAACAAAAAGGUAAAACCUUUUUUCUCUCUCUCUUCUCCUCAGACGCUCCUUCCUCUCUCUUCCUCUCCUUCAAAGCAGCUCAGAUCUACGCUCCGGUGACCGGCGGUGGCGCGCGUGGUUGCCGGGAGCGUCCUCCUCUCCUCUUUCUCUUUGUUCUAUUAGAUGAUAUGAAGGUGAUGAAUCGAUGAGAUGAUGAAGAGAAGAAGACGAUGAAGAAGUUUGUUAGAAAAUAUAAAACUGUAUAUUAUUCAGCUC